rnacentral:rRNA from 1 species
GACGAACGCUGGCGGCGUGCUUAACACAUGCAAGUCGAACGGAAAGGCCCUGCUUUUGUGGGGUGCUCGAGUGGCGAACGGGUGAGUAACACGAGAGUAACCUGCCCUUGACUUUGGGAUAACUUCAGGAAACUGGGGCUAAUACCGGAUAGGAGCUCCUGCUGCAUGGUGGGGGUUGGAAAGUUUCGGCGGUUGGGGAUGGACUCGCGGCUUAUCAGCUUGUUGGUGGGGUAGUGGCUUACCAAGGCUUUGACGGGUAGCCGGCCUGAGAGGGUGACCGGCGACAUUGGGACUGAGAUACGGACCAGAGUCCUACGGGAGGCAGUAGUGGGGAAUAUUGCGCAAUGGGCGGAAGCCUGAUGAAGCAACGCCGCGUGAGUGAUGACGGCCUUCGGGUUGUAAACCGCUUUCGGCUGUGACGAAGCGUGAGUGACGGUAAUGGGUAAAGAAGCACCGGCUAACUACGUG